rnacentral:rRNA from 1 species
GGCAAACGGGUGAGUAACGCGUGGGCGACCUACCUUCGAGUGGGGGAUAACCUUCCGAAAGGAGGGCUAAUACCGCAUGACAUUCCGUGUUUGGAUACACGGGUAUCAAAGCCGGGGAUCGCAAGACCUGGCGCUUGAAGAGGGGCCCGCGUCCGAUUAGCUAGUUGGUGAGGUGAUGGCUCACCAAGGCGACGAUCGGUAUCCGGCCUGAGAGGGCGGACGGACACACUGGGACUGAGACACGGCCCAGACUCCUACGGGAGGCAGCAGUGGGGAAUUGUUCGCAAUGGGCGCAAGCCUGACGACGCAACGCCGCGUGGAGGAUGAAGACUUUCGGGUCGUAAACUCCUUUCGACCAGGAUGAAUUCCUGUCGACCUAACACGUCGGCAGGGUGACAGUACUGGGAGAAGAAGCCCCGGCUAACUCCGUGCCAGCAGCCGCGGUAAUACGGGGGGGGCAAGCGUUGUUCGGAAUUACUGGGCGUAAAGGGUUCGUAGGUGGCCCGCUAAGUCAGACGUGAAAUCCCUCAGCUCAACUGGGGAACUGCGUCUGAGACUGGAGGGCUUGAGUGCAGGAGAGGAACGCGGAAUUCCAGGUGUAGCGGUGAAAUGCGUAGAUAUCUGGAGGAACACCGGUGGCGAAGGCGGCGUUCUGGACUGCUACUGACACUGAGGAACGAAAGCCAGGGGAGCAAACGGGAUUAGAUACCCCGGUAGUCC